rnacentral:rRNA from 1 species
AUACGGAGGGUGCGAGCGUUAAUCGGAAUUACUGGGCGUAAAGCGCGCGUAGGCGGUUUGUUAAGUCGGAUGUGAAAUCCCCGGGCUCAACCUGGGACCUGCAUCCGAUACUGGCAGGCUAGAGUCUGGUAGAGGGGGGUAGAAUUCCUGGUGUAGCGGUGAAAUGCGUAGAUAUCAGGAGGAAUACCAGUGGCGAAGGCGGCCCCCUGGACUGAGACUGACGCUGAGGUGCGAAAGCGUGGGGAGCAAACAGGAUUAGAUACCCUAGUAGUCC